GGUUAAGUCAGGCAACGAGCGAGAUCCGCACCUUUAUUUGCCACCAAGAAGUCACGACUUCGUUGGGAACACUAAAGGGACCGCCGUCGAUAAGACGGAGGAAGGAGCGGGCAAAGGCAGGUCAGUAUGCCCCGAAACCCCUGGGCUACACGCGGGCUGCAAUGGUAUGAACAAUGGGCUGUGACUCCGAAAGGAGAAACCAAUCCCGAAAUCAUAUCUCAGUUGGAAUUGUCGGCUGUAACCCGCCGACAUGAACGCGGAAUCCCUAGUAAUCGUGUGUCAUCAUCGCACGGUGAAUACGUCCCUGCUCCUUGCACAAA
rnacentral:rRNA from 1 species